rnacentral:lncRNA from 1 species
AUGAGAAGUACUGACUUUGUAAUUAAAAACAAAAACUAUUUUAAAAUGUGCUAAAUUUUGGACCUAUCUCAGCCUGAGAAGGUUUUUUUCUAAAAAGGUUCAGGCAUCUUUUUAUUUUCCUACUGCUCUCCUUACCUGUGCACACCUCAUUGCCUGUAUCUGUGAUGCCUCUAUUUGGAGGGAACCUGGGUUAUGCCUGGGCCUGGUUUACUCCCAUAACAUGGGUUGCUGUACUUGCCCACUUAAUUGUGAGCUCUAUCCAUCCAGGAAAGUAAUCUGUUCCUUAUUUUGAAUAGCGUGUUCUUAGAAGUUCAUGGGUUCUAAUUGAAGGAAACUAGAGGGACCCCUUCCAUCCUUCAGCAAGGGUCCCCAAAGAUAGGCAGGGUGCCCAGAGAAUGCCUCAACUGCUGAGAACUCCACCCUUUCAGGUCCAGUGCAGGCUCAUCUCCAGAAAAGCUGGGUUAGAGUUGUCUCACUGUUUGGGUUGGAAUAUUGUGAUUUCUAGGAGUGGAAAUGCACUUGCUAAUUUAGCUAUCUCCUCUUUAUAAGACGCUCAUGGAAAUAAAGAUUAGCCAUAAAAUACCUUUAAUGAGCUUCCAAAUUUUAUCUGCAAGGAACCCAGGGCCUGUGGCAUUAUACUGGUUUGUAGAAGACUCCUGUGGUGUCUGCAGAAACUUUCUCUGGUGAAUAUCUAGAAUUUCCAUUACUUUGAAUGUGUACAUGUUAUUAAUCAAGGAAUUAAUCAUCCCCAUUCUCUUUGAUUGAAAGUCACAUUACCUUGGAAGGACAAGGUGUUGUCAAAUGGGCAAGGCAGAUCAUAUGUUUUCUUUUACUGGACUCCUUAUUUUUCUAAUUACAGCCUGUGUAUCCUGUGCUAGAGAGCCUCUUGAAAUUAACUUAAUUUACUAUCACACUUGUAACAUACCCAUUUAUUUGGGCCUGUGAAUAUGUGUGCACUCCAUUUGAUUACAUCUAAUGUUCUCCCUAAAUAAAGAGUACAAUUAAUUCAUUAGAGGAUGGUUUGUUUCCAGGGGUAAGUGCCAGUUUAUGAUGAUUCCAUCAACACUUGCACCACAUUAAUUUAUUUCCAAUUUAAUCAGUGUUUAAAUUGAACUGGGAUCAGGCAGAACAAAACACAUGGUUUUGCAUAAUUAUAAUGGAGCAAAUGGAAAUAGUCAUAGCACUUCAGCAUUAGAAACCUCACUGCAGAAGCACAGAUGGGUUAGGAGAUGUUGAUUAAAAAAGAUGUCUAGGAAUAAAUCCUCUGUAAGCACUGUAUUAAAAUCCAAGUGCCUGCAGGACAAGCGACUUUGCAUUAAUUACUAAAAAAUUUCUUAUUCUGGGUAUAGCUUUCUGUAGAAAUCCUACAGAUUGAGUAAACUGUGGAGGCACUCCUUUUCAUGCUCCAUUUAACUUAAAUUAUUAGCUGGUUCAGAAAGUUGUUUCUUCCCAGACUUGUCUAGGAAGUUCAAUAUUUAGCAAUUACCCCUUUGUGCUUCUCGAACCUUCUCCAAGCCAGUGUCGUUGAAGGACAGAUUUGCCAUGUGGGAAGGUGGGCUACCUUGGAAAACAGAUUUUUGGUUCGGAGCUUGUCUGAAACUCUCUAGAUUAAGAAUUGUGGCCGGGCGCAGUGGCUCGCGCCUGUAAUCCCAGCACUUUGGGAGACCGAGGUGGGCGGAUCACCUGAGGUUGGGAGUUCGAGACCAGCCUGACCAACAUGGAGAAACCCCAUCUCUACUAAAAAUAGGAAAUUAGCUGGGUGUGGUGGCACAUGCCUGUAAUCCCAGCUACUCGGGAGGCUGAGGCAGGAGAAUCACUGGAACCCAGGAGGCAGAGAUUGUGUUGAGCCGAGAUUGCUCCAUUGCACUCCAGCCUGGGCAACAAGAGCAAAACUCCAUCUCAAAAAAAAAAAAAAAAAAAAAAAAGAGAGAGAGAAAGAAAAAAAAAGAAUUGCACUGGAUGGGUUUGCUCCUUCAAAACUAACAGGAGAGAGAGGCUGAACAAAUGGUGUUCUUCAGGCAAGGGGCUUCCUGACGUGUAGUCAUUUGUUAACUGCCCGAGUUUUGGUCUUAGAAUUUCUUUUCCCUCUCCUCCUCUUCCUUCUUAAUAAAUCAUCACAAAUACAGUUGAAGUCUCCCCUUCCACACUGUGUUCCAUUUCUCUCCAUUCAGAGAACCCCUAGAGAACCACCCCCUUUUUUUAAAUUAAAAUUUAUUUUGAAAUAAUUUCAAACUUAGAGAAAAAUCACAAGGACUGCACAAAGAACUCCCCAUAUCCCCUUUAAAGGAAUAAUGAUAAUAAUAAAGUGUUUUUAAUUCCUGGCAUGUAUUUUAUUGGAGGCAUUUCUGUGAUUGGAACGGGAGUUGAGGCAAUGUCAGAUGUAUUAUAACAAAGUAAAUUCCUUAAAUUGUCGCGCAGUGAAACAUUAACAGCAGUAACUACCCUUUCAAAUUCCUUUUAGUUUUCAAUAGAAAGGGCCAGAAAGUGCCUUUACAUUUUUGUCUUGGAACAACUCUGCAAUUUCAUCUUGAUUUAAUAUUUCUAGUAAUAAAGCAUCUUCCGACUCCACAUUCUUAUCUCUGGGCAGACAUUUUAUUCUUAAGAAUUGUAGUGAUUGAUAAGAAGCUAAAUGGAAAUGAUUAACGUGUCAAUGAUUAAUAAUUAUAACAACAUUCAAACACUUAGAAAUUAUAGUAUUUCAUCAGAUGUCUUUUUAAAGAGGCAUUUCUGGCCAGUUGUGGUGGCUGACCUUUGGGAGGCUGAGACGGCUGGAUCACUUGAGGUCAGGAGUUCGAGGUGAGACUGGCCAACAUGAUGAAAACCCUUCUCUACUAAAAAAAAAAAAAUACAAAAAUUAGCCGGGCAUGAUGGCAGGCACCUGUAAUCCCAGCUACUCAGGAGGCUGAGACACGAGAACCACUUGAACCUGGGAGGCAGAGAUUGCAGUGAACUGAGAUUGUGCCACUGCACUCCAGCCUGGGGUGACAGAGCGAGACUCAGUCUCCAAAAAAAAAAAAAAAAAAAAAAAAAAAAAAAAAAAGAGGCAUUUCUGUGAGAAGAGCAGCAGGUAGGCAAGCCAACUUUCCCAGGGCCUAUAGCCCCUUUUCCCCGAUUGUAGAG